rnacentral:rRNA from 1 species
GUCUUCGAGUCGUUGAUUUCACACUGCCGAGAAAAGCCUCUAGAUAGAAAAUAGGUGCCCGUACCGCAAACCGACACAGGUAGUCAAGAUGAGAAUUCUAAGGUGAGCGAGCGAACUCUCGUUAAGGAACUCGGCAAAAUGACCCCGUAACUUCGGGAGAAGGGGUGCUCUUUAGGGUUAACGCCCAGAAGAGCCGCAGUGAAUAGGCCCAAGCGACUGUUUAUCAAAAACACAGGUCUCUGCUAAACCGUAAGGUGAUGUAUAGGGGCUGACGCCUGCCCGGUGCUGGAAGGUUAAGAGGAGUGGUUAGCUUCUGCGAAGCUACGAAUCGAAGCCCCAGUAAACGGCGGCCGUAACUAUAACGGUCCUAAGGUAGCGAAAUUCCUUGUCGGGUAAGUUCCGACCCGCACGAAAGGCGUAACGAUUUGGGCACUGUCUCAACGAGAGACUCGGUGAAAUCAUAGUACCUGUGAAGAUGCAGGUUACCCGCGACAGGACGGAAAGACCCCGUGGAGCUUUACUG